AGCGCCACGCACCAACACUCAUCAUUUCUAGCGGAGCCUGGCACCGAGACGCAGCGCUCACAUUUCUCUUUUCGACUGCUCAAACUUCUGAGGCGGACACAUCCGUCCAACUCGUCCCACUUAGUGGAUUAAAUUCACGCUUUCUCCUCUUUCUUUGCGUUUUUUCCCUCUCUCCUCUUCCUCCUCCUCCUCUGGUUUCGUGUUACAAAGCCUUGGGAGGGAGUUGUGCGCACAGAGCGAGUUGUUCUGUGUAGAAACUGAAUGACAGGAUCAUAUGGCACGAUUUGCUGCUUAGUCCAAACAUUUCAUAUCAGAGAAGGACACAAGAGGGGCGAGGAGACGAUUGGUCAGAAAUUGAUGUGGAUGUGGAAUAAUUUCUAACUCAAACUAAGAAGAAAAAGAUCCAACAACAAACGUGACGGUGGGAGGAGAAGGAUAGCCUGCUGGAUCCAUCGGCAGAGGAGGAAAAGGCAGGAGAUCAUCCGCACCAUCAGCGUAAUAAUAAGGCCAAUGUGACCUUCAUCUGAGUCAAGUGUCGCUAUUCAACAUUCACGAAGCAAAACAAAAAUCUGAGCGGAGGGGAGAUUAAAAGGAAGGCACUGAGGCGCGCGAGGGAGGAGGCGAAAACAACAGCCUGCCAGACCUGGCCUGAUUCUCCUGAGUACCUCUGAUCGAUUGGUUGGCUCCUUUCUCCAUCAUCGAGUGACAGAUCCAACAACGGGAGCAGAGGUGGCAGCCAUGGGUUGGACAAGGGUCUUCCUGCUGGUGUUAUUGGUGGGAUGGGAGAAGUCAGUGGGUCUCAACUGGAACCCAGUCCCACGAAAGACUGUUAGGUACCAAGGUAAGAGCCCAAAACCCUC